GAUGAACGCUAGCGGCAGGCCUAAUACAUGCAAGACGAACGGUAACUUUGGUAGCAAUAUUGAAGCAAGAGUGUCGUAAGGGUGCGUAACACGUAUGCAAUCUGCCCUCAACAGGAGGAUAGCUCCCCGAAAGGGAAUUAACACUCCAUAAGAUCAUGGUUCGGCAUCGGACAGUGAUUAAAACUACGGUGGUUGAGGAUGAGCAUGCGCAUGAUUAGUUAGUUGGCGGGGUAACGCCCACCAAGACGAUGAUCAUUAGGGGAACUGAGAGGUUGAUCCCCCACACUGGCACUGAGAUACGGGCCAGACUCCUACGGGAGGCAGCAGUAGGGAAUAUUGGACAAUGGGUGCGAGCCUGAUCCAGCCAUGCCGCGUGCAGGAAGACGGCCUUCUGGGUU
rnacentral:rRNA from 1 species